UACGUAGGGUGCAAGCGUUGUCCGGAAUUAUUGGGCGUAAAGAGCGUGUAGGCGGCCCGAUUAGUCCGCUGUGAAAGUCCAGGCUCAACCCUGGGAUGCCGGUGGAUACUGUCGGGCUCGAGUCCGGAAGAGGCGAGUGGAAUUCCUGGUGUAGCGGUGAAAUGCGCAGAUAUCAGGAGGAACACCAAUGGCGAAGGCAGCUCGCUGGGACGUGACUGACGCUGAGACGCGAAAGCGUGGGGAGCAAACAGG
rnacentral:rRNA from 1 species